CAGGAGGUAGUUUAUUUAAAAUACUAGUUUUGGGUAUUAGAGAAAAAUAUUUAUUUUCUUCUGA
rnacentral:tRNA from 1 species